GUGUCAGCAGCCGCGGUAAUACGUAGGCACCAAGCGUUGUCCGGAUUUAUUGGGCGUAAAGAGCUCGUAGGCGGUUCGGUAAGUCGGGUGUGAAAACUCUGGGCUCAACCCAGAGCCGCCACCCGAUACUGCUGUGACUCGAGUGCGGUAGGGGAGCGGGGAAUUCCUGGUGUAGCGGUGAAAUGCGCAGAUAUCAGGAGGAACACCAGUGGCGAAGGCGCCGCUCUGGGCCGUGACUGACGCUGAGGAGCGAAAGCGUGGGUAGCAAACAGGAUUAGAUACCCUGGUAGUCC
rnacentral:rRNA from 1 species